UUUGACCUCAAAUCAGGUGAGACUACCCGCUGAACUUAAGCAUAUCAAUAAGCGGAGGAAAAGAAACCAACAGGGAUUGCCUUAGUAACGGCGAGUGAAGUGGCAAAAGCUCAAAUUUGAAAUCUGGCGCCUUUGGUGUCCGAGUUGUAAUUUGAAGAAGGUAACUUUGAGAUUGGCCCUUGCAUAAGUUCCUUGGAACAGGACGUCAUAGAGGGUGAGAAUCCCGUUUAUGGUGAGGUGCCCAAUUUCUUGUAAGUGCUUUCGAAGAGUCGAGUUGUUUGGGAAUGCAGCUCUAAGUGGGUGGUAAAUUCCAUCUAAGGCUAAAUAUUGGCGAGAGACCGAU
rnacentral:rRNA from 1 species